rnacentral:rRNA from 1 species
CCUACGGGAGGCUGCAGUGAGGAAUAUUGGUCAAUGGACGAGAGUCUGAACCAGCCAAGUAGCGUGAAGGAUGACUGCCCUAUGGGUUGUAAACUUCUUUUAUAUGGGAAUAAAACGUUCCACGUGUGGGAUUUUGUAUGUACUAUAUGAAUAAGGAUCGGCUAACUCCGUGCCAGCAGCCGCGGUAAUACGGAGGAUCCGAGCGUUAUCCGGAUUUAUUGGGUUUAAAGGGAGCGUAGGUGGAUUGUUAAGUCAGUUGUGAAAGUUUGCGGCUCAACCGUAAAAUUGCAGUUGAAACUGGCAGUCUUGAGUACAGUAGAGGUGGGCGGAAUUCGUGGUGUAGCGGUGAAAUGCUUAGAUAUCACGAAGAACUCCGAUUGCGAAGGCAGUUCACUAGACUGCAACUGACACUGAUGCUCGAAAGUGUGGGUAUCAAACAGGAUUAGAUAACCUGGUAGUC